GACAGAGGGUGCAAACGUUGUUCGGAAUUACUGGGCGUAAAGCGUGUGUAGGCGGUCUACUAAGUCGGGUGUGAAAGCCCUGGGCUCAACCCAGGAAGUGCACUCGAAACUGGCAGGCUAGAGUACUGGAGAGGUUGGUGGAAUUCUCGGUGUAGAGGUGAAAUUCGUAGAUAUCGAGAGGAACACCGGUGGCGAAGGCGGCCAACUGGACAGAUACUGACGCUGAGACACGAAAGCGUGGGGGAGCAAACAGG
rnacentral:rRNA from 1 species